rnacentral:lncRNA from 1 species
GAUAGGAAAGGAAGGACUUUUGGUUUCUUGUUGAUUUAGAAUUGGUUGUUAGAUUUUUUUUUCUUUUCUUUUGCUUGUGUAUUAGCUAGAUUUUUUUUAAUUGGUAAUUUUGUUUUUGAGAAGGACAUAUCACUUAUGAUUGAUAAAUGAGCAUACCUAGCUUGAAAGAAGUUGAUUUGGAAUAUCGGCUCAUUUGCUUGAUCUUAGAAAACUUGUUAUGUUGAUUGAGUUUGAUUUGACUUUGAAGUUUUCAUCUUCCCAAGUUUUUUUUUUCUAAUUGAGUCUUGACACACACUAUGCACUCUAGACCCCUGAUAUAAGAUGAAAGACUAAUCUAACCCUAAGACUUGAACCCAAUUGUCUUAGCAAGUUAAAUCACUUUUAAAUUGAGUUGAGACACCUUAAGAAGAGGCCAAUGUGCCC